rnacentral:lncRNA from 1 species
CACAUCCUUUCAUGUAACUAAUAUCCUAGGAAUUUCACUGUAAUAUGCAUAGACAUGUGAGUAGACUGCUGCUUCAUAGGUUUUCUUUUCCAGGUUAAAAUAUUGUACCUCACAAUAUUACACUUAUUGCACUGCAGUCACACCGUUGUUUAGUUCAACAAAACAGUGGAAUUACAUAAUUCUAGAUGCCUAUAUUUUUCCAUUUCAUAUUUAUGUCUCUUAACAUUUAUUUGUUUGAAAUUUCUAUGGAACUAGUGCCAUAUAAAUUGCUAUAAUUACCCUGUUAAAGAAUUUCAUAAUUGUAAUAUUUAUGAUUUGAGAGGAUCUUUUGUCAAGUGAUUGUGAAUUCAACGUCUAAUUCUUUUAUAAGGUGAUAGUUUGUUGCUUCAUUAUUUGUCUAUGAAACCAGUCCCUUGAAUUGCUGUAAAACUGGUCCGACAGAUUCCAAUUAUCCAUAGGAUUCUCAUUUUCCCUUCAGUUUUUCAUAGAAGUUGCACUUAAGAGACUACCGUAUUGCAUUGGUUCUUUUGAUUGCCUUAGUUGCAUAAUUAUUAUUUACAUUACGAGACUACCAUAUUGCAUUGGUUCUUUUGAUUGCCUUAGUUGCAUAAUUAUUAUUUACAUUGUAGGAUAUGUAUGUGAUGCUGUGUCAGUGGAUCCACAAUCCCGAUGCUGCCCAGAGAAAGGAGAG